AUAUGGAUACAGAGAUUUUUGCUGUGCAGUGGACAUCACGACCCUUCACAAAGUCUUCAGGAAAGCCAACUAUACUCACAUAUUGGUCUAGUAACGAGCACAGUUCUAGACAGCGGCUGCUCUGAUGACAAAGAACAGAGCCCCCAGUGGACCCCUGACCAGCGUGGAGUGUCAACAGGCAAACACACGUCUUCAACAACUGGACUCGGGCUUCUAUGUCGCUGUGUCCCAACUGAGCGCCUCCAGACGCACCCACCCUGUCUCACAGGGAGGCCACUUCACAAAUUCACGGGCACGAUGAUACAUUCAGGUCUUGAUGAGUCCAGGUGUAGCCAUCGGACUGAAACACUUCUCACUCCAGAGCUUCAUCAUGUCUUCUGUUUCCUCCACCACAAUGGGAGACAGCGCCCCAGAUGGCGGCUACUCCGUGUUGGGGUCCCGGAGUGAAUCACAGCCACAGUCGGGCAGCAGGUGACCUGCCCUAGCACACCGCUUUAGAGUGUAGGGGACACCCGGCAUGUGCCACAUAGUUCUGCGCCGCUGGGCCUCUCUCAAACACUAGGAGUCAUUGUGGGCUUGUGUGGAAGAAGUCAUGUUCUAGCAUCUCAUUUCUACUGUUCUCUGUCUUAUGUGUAUGGAAAUAUUUUAUAAAAUGUUGGCCUGCCAGGUUGUUUUGAAAAUAAAUGAUAAUGUAUUGGAAGGAGUAUUUAUGUA
rnacentral:lncRNA from 1 species